CAGGGUGAAAGGGUGCGGUAAGAGCGCACCGCGGACGCGGCAACGCGGACGGCACGGCAAACCCCACCGGGAGCAAAACCGAAUAGGGGCGGCACGCGCGAGCGAUCGCGCACGGCCUUCUUCAGGCCCGUCGCCCGGGUUGGUUGCUCGAGGCGGCCGGCAACGGCCGUCCCAGAGGAAUGGCCGCCACGUCCGGGGGAUCCUCGCGGAUCAUUCGGGCCAUACAGAACCCGGCUUACAGGCCGGCUGAUACC
rnacentral:RNase_P_RNA from 1 species